UGAACCUCGCAAUUGUUCAGACUGUGUGGC
rnacentral:piRNA from 1 species